rnacentral:siRNA from 1 species
UCACCUUUUUCAAGUGUUCUCA